ACGGGUGAGCAAUAUUUGGGAAUCUGCCUAUUAGUGGGGGAUAACCCGGGGAAACUCGGGCUAAUACCGCAUACGCUCUACGGAGGAAAGCCGGGGACCGCAAGGCCUGGCGCUAGUAGAUGAGCCCAAAUCGGAUUAGCUAGUUGGUGAGGUAACGGCUCACCAAGGCGACGAUCCGUAGCUGGUUUGAGAGAACGACCAGCCACACCGGAACUGAGACACGGUCCGGACUCCUACGGGAGGCAGCAGUGGGGAAUAUUGGACAAUGGGCGAAAGCCUGAUCCAGCGACGCCGCGUGGGUGAAGAAGGCCUGCGGGUUGUAAAGCCCUUUCGGUUGGGAAGAAAAGUAUUGACCUAACACGUCAGUACCUUGACGUAACCAACAAAAGAAGCACCGGCUAACUCUGUGCCAGCAGCCGCGGUAAUACAGAGGGUGCAAGCGUUAAUCGGAAUUACUGGGCGUAAAGCGCGCGUAGGCGGCUUGACAAGUCGAGUGUGAAAUCCCCGGGCUUAACCUGGGACCUGCAUUCGAAACUGUCUUGCUAGAGUAUGGGAGAGGGAAGUGGAAUUUCAGGUGUAGCG
rnacentral:rRNA from 1 species